rnacentral:rRNA from 1 species
UACGUAGGGUGCAAGCGUUGUCCGGAAUUAUUGGGCGUAAAGAGCUCGUAGGCGGUCUGUCGCGUCUGCUGUGAAAACUCAGGGCUUAACCCUGAGCUUGCAGUGGGUACGGGCAGACUAGAGUGCGGUAGGGGAGACUGGAAUUCCUGGUGUAGCGGUGAAAUGCGCAGAUAUCAGGAGGAACGCCGGUGGCGAAGGCGGGUCUCUGGGCCGUAACUGACGCUGAGGAGCGAAAGCAUGGGGAGCGAACAGG